GAAAUGCGAUAAGUAGUGUGAAUUGCAGAAUUCAGUGAAUCAUCGAAUCUUUGAAUGCACAUUGCGCCCCUCGGUAUUCCGUGGGGCAUGCCUGUUCGAGCGUCAUCUACACCCUCAAGCUCUGCUUGGUGUUGGGCGUCUGUCCCGCCUCCUUCGCGCGCGGACUCGCCCCAAAUCCAUUGGCGGCGGCCCUUGCCUCCCUCUCGCGCAGCACAUUGCGCUUCUCGAGGCGCGGCGGACCGCGUCCAGCAAGCAACCGUCACACCGUCUUUGACCUCGGAUCAGGUAGGGAUACCCGCUGAACUUAAGC
rnacentral:misc_RNA from 1 species